GAUGAACGCUGGCGGCGUGCCUAAUACAUGCAAGUCGAGCGAACAGACGAGGAGCUUGCUCCUCUGACGUUAGCGGCGGACGGGUGAGUAACACGUGGAUAACCUACCUAUAAGACUGGGAUAACUUCGGGAAACCGGAGCUAAUACCGGAUAAGAUAUUGAACCGCAUGGUUCAAUAGUGAAAGACGGUGUUGCUGUCACUUAUAGAUGGAUCCGCGCCGCAUUAGCUAGUUGGUAAGGUAACGGCUUACCAAGGCAACGAUGCGUAGCCGACCUGAGAGGGUGAUCGGCCACACUGGAACUGAGACACGGUCCAGACUCCUACGGGAGGCAGCAGUAGGGUAUCUUCCGCAGUGGGCGAAAGCCUGACGGAGCAACGCCGCGUGAGUGAUGACGGUCUUCCGAUCGUAAAACUCUGUUAUUAGGGAAGAACAAAUGUGUAAGUAACUAUGCCCGUCUUGACGGUACCUAAUCAGAAAGCCCCGGCUAACUACGUG
rnacentral:rRNA from 1 species